GCUUUCCUGUGGCUCCGUUGGUAGAGCAUUGAGCUAACAACGCAAAGGUUGUGGGUUCAAAUUCCAGGGAAAGCA
rnacentral:tRNA from 1 species